GACGAACGCUGGCGGCGUGCUUAACACAUGCAAGUCGAACGAAGUAGCGAACGGGUGAGUAACGCGUAAUCCACCUGCCCUUCAGAGGGGGACAACAGUUGGCAACGACUGCUAAUACCGCAUACUGAAGGAGGGGAUUGCGUCUGAUUUGCUAGUGGGCGGGGUAACGGCCCACCAAGGCGAUGAUCAGUAGGCGGUCUGAGACGAUGAGCGGCCACAUGGAGACUGAGACAGGGCCCAGAGCCAGACGGGAGGCAGCAGUGGGAGAUAUGACGAAAGGGAAGAAAGUCUGACGGUGCAACGCCGCGUGAGGGAUGACGGCCUUCGGGUUGUAAAGCUCUGUUAAUCGGGACGCGGUACCGGAAUAGAAAGCCACGGCUAACUACGUGCCAGCAGCCGCGGUAAUAC
rnacentral:rRNA from 1 species